GCAGUUAAAAAGCUCGUAGUUGAACCUUGGGUCUGGCUGGCCGGUCCGCCUCACCGCGAGUACUGGUCCGGCUGGACCUUUCCUUCUGGGGAACCUCAUGGCCUUCACUGGCUGUGGGGGGAACCAGGACUUUUACUGUGAAAAAAUUAGAGUGUUCAAAGCAGGCCUUUGCUCGAAUACAUUAGCAUGGAAUAAUAGAAUAGGACGUGUGGUUCUAUUUUGUUGGUUUCUAGGACCGCCGUAAUGAUUAAUAGGGAUAGUCGGGGGCGUCAGUAUUCAGCUGU
rnacentral:rRNA from 1 species